CAAUUUGGUGCGCGAAAGCUUGUUUUCCAUUUCCUUGUUCGUAAAUCUUGUGUGUAUAUCGUUUUGCGCCAAGGUUGCAUGAUUCCCAAUCUAAAUCUUUCGUGUCAUAAAUUUGCAAUAAUCACUACCAAUCACUUAAAUUCAAUUUGUUAGAAUCAAACGCAAUUUGUUUGUAAUAAUCAAAACAAGAAGUCAACCAUUA
rnacentral:lncRNA from 1 species